rnacentral:rRNA from 1 species
AGUGAACGCUGGCGGUAGGCCUAACACAUGCCAGUCGAACGGCAGCACAGUAAGAGCUUGCUCUUACGGGUGGCGAGUGGCGGACGGGUGAGGAAUACAUCGGAAUCUACUUUUUCGUGGGGGAUAACGUAGGGAAACUUACGCUAAUACCGCAUACGACCUACGGGUGAAAGCAGGGGAUCUUCGGACCUUGCGCGAUUGAAUGAGCCGAUGUCGGAUUAGCUAGUUGGCGGGGUAAAGGCCCACCAAGGCGACGAUCCGUAGCUGGUCUGAGAGGAUGAUCAGCCACACUGGAACUGAGACACGGUCCAGACUCCUACGGGAGGCAGCAGUGGGGAAUAUUGGACAAUGGGCGCAAGCCUGAUCCAGCCAUACCGCGUGGGUGAAGAAGGCCUUCGGGCUGUAAAGCCCUUUUGUUGGGAAAGAAAAGCAGCAGGUUAAUACCCCGCUGUUCUGACGGUACCCAAAGGAUAAGCACCGGCUAACUUCGUG